GAUGAAGAACGUAGCGAAAUGCGAUAAGUAAUGUGAAUUGCAGAAUUCAGUGAAUCAUCGAAUCUUUGAACGCACAUUGCGCCCCUUGGUAUUCCGAGGGGCAUGCCUGUUCGAGCGUCAUUAUAACCCCUCAAGCUCAGCUUGGUGUUGGGGCCUGCUGCACUGGCAGCCCUUAAAAUCAGUGGCGUCGCCAUCUGGCUCUAAGCGUAGUAAUUCUUCUCGCUAUGGAGUCCUGGUGGAUGCUUGCCAUCAACCCCCAAUUUUUCUAUGGUUGACCUCGGAUCAGGUAGGGAUACCCGCUGAACUUAAGCAUAUCAAUAAGCGGAGGA
rnacentral:misc_RNA from 1 species